rnacentral:sRNA from 1 species
UGGCCGUCUGCUGGACCUUCAGGCCACCC